rnacentral:misc_RNA from 1 species
GAUGAAGAACGCAGCGAAAUGCGAUAAGUAAUGUGAAUUGCAGAAUUCAGUGAAUCAUCGAAUCUUUGAACGCACAUUGCGCCCCUUGGUAUUCCGAGGGGCAUGCCUGUUCGAGCGUCAUUAUAACCCUCAAGCUCAGCUUGGUGUUGGGGCCUGCUGCACUGGCAGCCCUUAAAAUCAGUGGCGGCGCCAUCUGGCUCUAAGCGUAGUAAUUCUUCUCGCUAUGGAGUCCUGGUGGAUGCUUGCCAUCAACCCCCAAUUUUUCUAUGGUUGACCUCGGAUCAGGUAGGGAUACCCGCUGAACUUAAGCAUGUCAAUAAGCGGAGGA